CGAUGUUUGGGUUCUCAGAGAGGAGCUCUUUCUACUGGAGAGGUGAAGAGGAUUAACAAGGUGCAGAAGGUGAGUGGAGAUACUUUUUAAAGGAUGAGAGCAAGGUGGGAACGGAUUAUUUCCCCCUGACAAACUGUCUUAAACUCAAUUAAGCCCUUAUUUUUGGCUUUUUACACCCUGAAAGAAGAUUUGUGUCAGGACUGUCUGUCACUGUGACUAUACCUGAAAUGAGUAAUGAGACAACACAGAUUUGAGUCUUUGCUGUGUAAAUGAUCAGUAUAUGUGCAAGUCUGUUUCUCAGAUUCUCUCAAAUAUUACUUUUUAAAUUCUGUAAGGAGUUUUCUGCCAUUUACAAAAUAAUCAAUAACCCAUAUCGAUCCCAUUUUUUUUGAUCUACAAAAGCAAACAAGAUCAUUGGCAACCAGAUUGACAAAUUUGUAAGGUGAUUUUUAAUGUCUUGUCAGCACAUAAUGGACAAGAUAAAGACUACUUUGUCCACAGGAGGCGCCAUAAUCAGUGCAAACUUAAGGUCCUUACACACCGGGAAUUUGACGCGCCUGACUAUACACAUUAAACCCGAUGCAAUUUUCCAACUUUCCGGGGGGAAAAAAGACGCGUCCCAGGUGGAGGCGAGAAGACUGAUACAACAGCAGACUGACUGUUUUUCAGUUCUGAUUAGACACUAGUGUUGAGAUGUCUGUCUGUCAUGAUAGCAUGUACUGAGUCGGGGCCAGAACCAGAUAAGCACAUUAAACUAUAAUCCAUAAACGUAAGGUAACAACCAAGACCUAAUGGUGCUGUGACAGCAACGCGAUUGAGUUCAAGACAAUGAAAAUACAUAUGGUAUGUUGUAUCUGAACAGGUUAGCUUACGAGCUAAAGUUACUUAGCACAGAUAAAAGUUAAAACAAAGACGUUUAACAAACUGUUAAAGCACACAAACCAUCCUUCAGGUCGUUAUCUUUGUAAUGUUUGUGUCUUUUAUCAAAGAGUUCUCUGUUCUUCGACACGUAAACAAUCAGCCGGUCGGCCAUGUUGGACAUACCGGUGAAUCUGACGUCACAAUCAUACACGCAAUCUGAUUGGUCAGAAGUGGACACACAGUAUGUGAAACUUUAGAAAAUUAGACCGUGGAACAAACAACAAAGAAAAAAAAUGCCGCAGUAUCGCAGGAGGGGAAAAUGUCACUGAUAUGAAAGGCCCUUAAGAGUUCCUCAUUGGAGCUUUAACAAGUAAAUUUGAACACCUCAUUGUUAGAUCUUUAAGUGAUUGAAAAAUUCUUGUCAUGUCAGUGUUGCUCAUAUUUUGGUUAUUUUUCCUUGAAAUAAGACUCAUACAUUUGCUUAGUUUUUAGUUUUUUCAAGGUCCGGACAAUUUUCUAAAAACAAAAAGCUAAAAUUCAAGCGGCAGAGUCACAUUAAAAAAGCAAAAUCCUAAUCUAUUUCACCCUCUAAGACAGGAGAUAAUUGCCCUUGUAUCACUGAACUUGUGUUAAGACCAUGAAACAAACGCAAACAGCGCACACACACACACUCGCUCACACACAUAUCCUCUUUCAGACGCACACAAAGACACACAUCGGAGCGCACACACUCUGCUAAUAAAGCAGCAGACAAGACAAGGGAAGAGAGAGUCAUUAGACGGCAAAGAUGCUUCAAAGCAGUUUGUCUCGCAUUUAGGACACAAGCCAAGGAUGCUCAGCUGACAGAGCAAACCUGCUUUGUAGUCAUUUUACCUCGGAAAGUGGGUCAGCAUUAUCAACACAGAGGAAGGAAUAAAAACCUUUAAAAGGCCUCGGUUCGAAAACUCAAGAUGCUACAAAGCAUUUCUCAGUCUUACUGCAUUGAUAGGAAUAAUUCUGUUACAGUUUCAGCUAUGAAUAAUGAUCAUUAACCCCAUUACAAAGAGGUGAAGCAUCUUUGUCGAGGGUAAGCUGACCUUGGCGGGAUGUUAAAACCCCUCUGAGAAUACUGUUUGCAUUAAAUAUGGUCCAGCUCUUUGACCAUAAACGAAUCACUGACUAUGAUUAAUUAUGCUAAUAUUUACUCAGGGUCUGGUGAUACAGAGCAGCAUGAUUAAGUGGCUCUCUUGUCAACUGUCAGCCAACUUUUGCUUUUUUAAUCCCGGCUCAUCUCCCUAAAUACAGAGUUAGCCGACUGGAACGUCUUAGAGUACGUUGGAAGAUUUUCAGUGUAGUUUGGAGAUUACGGUGCGUCUCAGCUUAGUGUUCUGCAAGUUUUAGGGAUUGCACUUACAUAACAUACAAUAUAUGUCAUUGUUUUUCAGCGCUGGUGAAUCACAGCUAAUAUAUUAUGUAUAAUCUGACUGGGAUGUCAUGAUUUUCCUAAUUCUGCUGUUGAAGAAUGCACAAAUUCAAAGUUUGGAGCAGAGAUUUUAGAAAUCCUGUUUCGUAAAGAACAGAUCACAGCAAGUAUUUCCUCUAAUAGGCAGAGGAGAGGAAACGGUGCAGGGGGGAGACAGCUGUAUUGUCUCAAGCUGAGAGUAGACGACUUAGCUCUCAGUAUCUGUCACUGAUGUCUAAACAAAGACCGCUGAGAGGAUCGAUAGAGUGCAGACCACAGGGCUUCAGAAAAACUGACUAUUGAGGUGAAAUGUCUCUUUAUGAGCACAGCAUGUAUGAAAAACUACUGAUUCAAAUCAGUCCUGAAACUUUACACACUGCAGGGACAGCUGGUCAGAGAGUACAAGAUGGAUUUGAUCUGGUCUGGAAUCGAUGCUCGCUAACUACUUCGACUGUAGUGGAUAAGCUCAGCAGAAUAGGGUUCGCUCUUACUGUACUUCUCACUUUUGAGUCUGAUUUGAACCCAGAGGAGAGGGAUGGAUGACUCCCAGGCCAAAUGAUUAAGGCUGAGCAGACGUAAGGUUUAAGCAGAAUAAAAAAAAAAAAAAAAGAGUCAGAGAGCAGACAUAGUCGUAUUCGGGGGGCUGAAACACCCCAGUGCACUUCAAUCAGUCCAGUUGUUGAGGUGGCACACAUGCUGUGCAGCUGCUGAAUGUACAUUCACUCAUUCCUGCUGUUUGAAGCACAUCUCUGGUGUAUCAGGGGAACAUCUUAUGUUUGUAUGAUUACUGCCCUGCUGCAGCGUCAUCACAUGAAAAUGGAUGACAACAUAGGACAGGAUGUGCGAUGGCUUCAUAGUGCGCCUUUCUCUCCCUUACUUAUCAUCGCUAUGUAAAAGGUGGAGCAUGUACAUAUGGGUAUUACUGAUCAUGCAGUAUACUGUGUGAAGUUAUGAGUACCUGGUUUACUGUUAGAAUGUUGAUUGAGGAGCAUUGUUGUUUUUUUAUGUAUUUCUAUACCACAGAGGCAGCUAAUAUAUGUAACAAUUGAGUCUCAGACAACAUGGCCAGUGGGGGCUUCAAGUGCAAUAUUUCAAUAUUUAUUAGUUAGUAAUAUAAAUAAGGUUCCAGUUUAUAAUGGGGCUUUUUCAUAAGGGCUUUUCUUUGCAAUCUGUAUAUGCUAUUUCUAAAUAAAUCAAUUAACUGCUGUCUUUUAUUACAAUGUAUACAGCAUUUAUAAAUCAGUGCUUGGUGACUAUGGACUAUGUAAUGGUUUCAUGAGAGUUUUUCCUCAGCCUUUCAGGUUGAUCAGACAGUAUAUUGAUUAGAAGUGAAUACUGAGAAGUUGAUGAAACCUGAGUGACAAAGCAGAGAUAAAAUGCCUUGAAUGCAGACAAGAACCCGUUCACAGCUGCAUAUCAAUCCUGUCCCAAGCUGACGCGAGUCUUACUUGGAGAAAAAGUAGGAAUUUAUGCUCCGACCAAAAGAUAAGUUAUGUGGGAAAGUGAGCAGGAUUGUGAAAGGAGUAAAACCACAACAGCGAGCGAGCAAUAGCGCUUUAUGUCUGUCAAAGUGAAAUUACUUGACAUGUAUUAUGGCUUCAGCACACCAGCUAAAGUUGAGGUCACAUGACAAUAAAACCAGCUGAUUCAAGUUCAAGACAUGUUUCAUUUACAAGUGACCAUCAAUUGACUUUUGUUUAGAUGAACAUUUAGAGCCAGUUUCAAGUCAAAACAACACUACUGUCCAAAUAUCAACCAUGAGAGAUCUUAUUUAAGUAGAAAGAAAUGCAUGCCAUAAUAAAUAGUCCAACAUUAGGAGGGGUUACAGAGUAAAUCAUUAUUAUAAACACUUGCUGUAAAGAAGUCCCCCUCAGAAGGUGUUGGUGCAUCAGCAGGAACAGCCACCCAGUCCAGCUCUGGCUCACAGUCACAAUCAUCAUAUUUGCUGUCAGACUGAGCUACCACGGCUGUGUUCACCAUUAAACACUGCUGUAAGGACAGCCGAGGAUACAGAGGCAGACAAAACAAGCAUGCACACGACUGCCAAAAACCAGAGAGGACGUCUUCAUUAGCACAGCCACAAUAAAUUCACAACUCUGUUACAAAUGAUGAGGAGAGAGAGAGAGAGAGGGGGAGAGAAGAUAUAUGCUGCCCUCUGCUGCUGGAUACUAAGAGGAUGACGCCUGUCAGAGCUCUGGGAUAAUCUGCACAAUUAUUGUGCAAAACAGAAGUUAAAUAACUGUCUUUUGGUGUAAGGUUCAAUUUAUCCCUUCAUUAUAUAUACAUAUAUAUAUAUUUUCAAGUAUCAAUAACUUGAAUCAAUGCAACAGUCAUUUAUCAACUAAAAUACAGGGUUAUAAACACACGUCAUCAGUGUUACAUUAAACAAAAAAGGAAAAACGAAACUAUAAAAUUACACAUGCAAACACGCAGAGAUAAAAAUAGGUACUUGUUUGCAGUUUUUUUUUAAAUUAUUUUAAAAGCACUUAUGUUAAAGUAGUUUGUUCAUUUCUUGCACAUAUAUCAUUCAGUAUGAAGUAUCCAAACAGCCUCAUUGUAAGUGACCCAAACAAACUUUGUCUGCUGCUGACAUCUAGCUGACACUGAUGGUAACAACAAAGAGUACACAAACCUCAGAAGAAACAAACUCAUAAACACACGCACGAACGCACGCACGCACGCACGCACGCACGCACGCACGCACGCACACACAAAGGGGAUUAAAAUAUUCAUUAAAUCAUUUCAGAGAGUUUUUAGCGAGGACUUUACUGCUGAUCUGAUUGCAGCCACGACUGCUUGUUGUUCAAGUUCCAUCUUUGCACCAGGGUUAUUGUGAAAAAGUUUGGUAUAAUCUUAGUACAUUUGAUGUUAAGGCAGAGUUUUAAAAUCUGUUUAUUUUUUUUCCUGUUUGCUAACUAAUUCAUCCAAACCUCACCCCUCUCUUAAAGGGAUGUUAAGUUAGGGUCAAACACACUGUAACACCGAGUUAGACACCCCAAGAGAGAUGAAUGUUGCCGACCGCUUGCUUCUCUAGAACAUUUAUGAUCAUUUCUUUAUCCUUUCCUUGCGGUAAUAAUCAUCAUAUUAAUCAUUUUGCACUGGAGACAUGGUAGUUCUUCUGCCUUAGCGUCUUGGUCUGAUUUCAUUUCCAUGAAGAAAUGAUCAUAGGUGCUGUUCUGAGAAUUAUUUGUGGCUAUAGAGUGGCUUUCUGGUUGAGCGUGUGGCUCUCUUUAUUGCUAUCUGAGGUCAUUACUAAAGUUGGUAUAACUAGAGAAGCAAGAGGUCGGCAACAUUCAUCUCUCGACGGGGUGUUUAACUCAGUGUUACAGUGUGUUUGACCCUAACUUAAUUUUACGCCGGAUAUCCCUUUAAAGGUCUACUACUACUACUACUAAUGCAGCAGCUACUCUUCCUGUGGUCCACAUCCAAGAAACAUAACAUACGAAGAUUAAACAAACCAUAUUAAAUGUGAGGGUAAGUGUUAAAAUACAUUCAGCAGUGACAUAGCUACAGAAAGUCAGUACAGGUUUAUAGACAUAUGCACAGGUUUGUUGCUGAUUUCACCAGGAUUAAGUAGUUCUCUUAAAAUUGGUGGUUUGUAACAAGUCCAGGUCCUCCUUUCACAUAAAAACCUCUCUCUAAGGGCAGCGGAGUUAAACGUCUUUGCAGCCAUUCGCGAGGAAAGUUCACUCAUCUGCCUCCUGCUGAACUCAUCCCACAGGUCAUCCCCACCACCAUGAAACCAAAGACUUGAUAACACAUCCACAAACCUGGGUGUACUGCAAUAAACGUACCAGCUGCAGCUCCGCUUAAAUAGACUGAACAGUUUAUUCUUUCAGUUGUCACAAAAUAAGAGGAUAUAAGUCAUGCAGCAUUUAUGUUAAACUAUAAGCUGUUAAUCAGACUGAUGACUACCACACAUGUCAAAACAUCGCUUAACAGGCGAGUCGCGAGUUAAUGCUGCUAAAUGCUUUGCAGGGUACAAAUGACAAUAAAGACAUCAAGCUUUCAUGAGCUGCACCGAUUUCAGGAUUUGCACGUUAAUAAAGCUGUAAAGAUGUCAGUAACACCUGCUCAAAUUACUAAUAAGUUCACAUGACCUCUAAGUCAUCCCACUCAUGAAUUUAAAAAAAAUGAGUGGAACCUGAAUUAUGACCUUUGGAGUCGUUAAUUUUCAAGUGUUCAUUUGACUCUCGAUGAGAUUAGAGGAGACAAUUAUUCCAUUAGCUUUGGCUCAGGAUGUGUCACCUUUCAGGGCAGAGCGGCUAAUGUAUUGCAUCUCCUUGUAUACAUGAAUAAUUCAUAAUCGUUAAUUGCAGCCGUAGCACGGCCCCGUUCUCUUCAUAAAAGCAAUCUGAACUGUAAAACAUAACAGGAGGAACAAAGUGGGCAGGGUUUCCAGUUUUUAUUUUAGGGAGAACGCGAUAGAGAGGUAAUAUUUCAUGACCCCUUAAGAGCACAGUGCUGCUAAUGAAUGUUCUUGCUCUUGAUUCCCCCAUAACUUUUUUGUGUGUUGAUCAUUUUGGUGCUGUUUUAUCCACCCAGUGUUCCUAAAGGUUCAGCUGCAAAGACCUUGUAGAUUUACGCAAUCAUGCAGGUCUUUCUUCAUUUAUAACUCUUGUGAGGAACUUUUUGUUAUGCUACCUCUUUUUUGUUGAUCUUAUCACGUCCAUGUGUAAUUGUGUUUUCUAAACCUGCUUUUAUUUCAACAGUCAAAUUUAUCACUCAGUGUAUUUGUGGAAGAAUUUAAAUUUUUGUGCACUUCAGGACAGUCUUGUCUGGCGCCUUCCUCUUUGCAGAAGUAACAGGCGUUAAAAUUUGCAUUAUAGAAAUCAUCAAUCUUUACACGGUUAGUCUUGUUUGCUCAAAACAGACAAGGCUAUUAAUUCCAGUCUAAAACUCCUCACAAAAUCAAACAGAAUUUUGUUGCCCUGAAUACUAAAAACAAUAUUUGGAAAAGUACAAACUAAUAUUUUUUCAUCUUUUUUUCUCUUUGUUGAAAUUUGUAGGCAUUAAAAAACCAAGAGGAAUAACUGAGUCAUUUUUAAACUGAUUCUUUUAUUACUUUCACCGAGAUUUUACUGCCCAGAGCAUCAAAAUUUGGCCGUGUUCCCACUGGAGGAAGCCCAAAAUUGAUCACCUUGAACGGCAAAGAGGAUCCUCCUGUGUUGAUGAUAGCUCAUAAUGUGUCUUGGCUUACAGAAUUAAGCAACGAGCCAGCGUCCUUUCAAGGUUAAAACGGCAAUAAACUAAACUGUAAACUGGAUUUAUUUAUUUUUACAAUAAGACAAAUCUCUCCCCUAACAAGCAAAGUAUUUGUUGUAUAAAGACAGACAUAAUGCGUCCCUAAACAGAAUCAAUAUAUGACAGAGAAAAUAUUCAAAUCACAACUUUAAAUUCAUGUAUUAUGCAAAAGCAAGAUGUAGGAAUUUAAACAUAAACUGUUUAAUUACACACCCGAGUGAAGAGAAAAGAAAUAAGACAGUUCUGACUUGGUUUUUGUUUGAAGAAUUGAUCAAGCUGGUUGCACUCUGUCCUGCACUAAAGUCUAGAAAACACAAUAAUAUGAUAUAUUUUUAUUACUAUGUUUAACACGUUUAACUAGACAAGCUGUUAUUGUUUAUCUAAGCUGCGAAAUGAAGGAAAUAUUUGAAAUAACAGGAUGAAUUUUGAGCUUGAAAGAGCUGGACUGGUCUCAGUGUUUUUCUCACCCUACUGUUUCUCUUGCUUGAGGGGAUGGGGGUGUCUUUAUGUUUAAACGCGUGUGUGUGUGUGUGUGUGUGUGUGUGUGUGUGUGUGUGUGUGUGUGAACAGACAGGGUUGAUGACCUUUUCAAGAGGGCUAUCAUUUAAUAAACACUGACAGCCUUUUAGAGACCACUUACCAUUCAUCUGGUCUACAAGAUUAGGCCCCGCAGUGAAACUACACAGUGAUCGAAUCAUUGUCCCCAGACGGCAAAGUGACAGCAAGCAAACACAAAAUCAAUAUUUCAGUGAUGAGGAUUCAUAUUUUAGGAAUUCUGGAAGCACCGUGCGACAGCCCUCAAUCCAUUCAUCCAUCCAUUUUCUGUACCUGGUUAAGUAUGCGGGUCAGGAGAGGUUAGACUCUAUAAUGCAUUUGAGGAGAGGUAGGGUACAUUCAGAGCAGGACAGCAGACUAUAACAGGGCCGACAGAAAUGAGCUGUGUCCCAUUUUGGAGAGUCAGAAAAUGAUGCUGUCAGGGUGCUGCUUGUACAAACUUUUGUAAUGGAAAGCUUGUGUUACAAACUGGGAGGUUACACUCAAAUACUUUGACUUUCACAAAAGUUGGCAAAAGUUGGCAAGUGUGGAACCAAAAGUUCUUGGCAAGGAUUCAUGUGGGGGACUAUUAAAGUAAUAAGACGGCCUCUGCCGGACUGAUCUCACUCUUCCUCUUAAGAGAGUUUGAGUCUGAGAAAAAUACAACACUUUUUAAAAUGAUUCGUCUUUACGAUAUGAUAAUAAAAAGAUAUGAAACUAAAAUGAUUCGUCUUUGGUUCUUUUAUGAGUAAACUUAUCACAGGGUCCACCUCUGGCCUUGAGUGAUUAAAUCAGAAUUCAUAAAUUCGCCAUACUCCGGGCCAAGGCUGCCUUACACGCCUCUGUGGUUUACCAAACUCGUACUUACACAGUGUAGGUAAGAUUUGAGCACAUUGUAUCAUAUAAGUAAGCACAACAAGUAAUCAUAAGGUGCGCUAGAUUAUAAGGCACACUGUCAAUUUUUUAAAAAAGUUAAGGAUUUUAAGUGGGCCUUAUAAAUACGGUACCUAUGAUCUGUCAUCUGCAUCACAUGCAUUUACACAACUUAGAACAUCUUAAAAUGUAUAAAACAAUACCAAAGAAAAAAAAACUUCAUUCUUUGAAAAACUUUUUUAAAGAAAGAGCAUUUGUGCUAUACUGAAAAGGACCAUGCAUCAAUUUGUCACAUCGCUUUGACGAGAUGAUGUUGAUGAUACUGAAUCAAACCAAAGAUUAAGUGAAAUCAUACGAGUACAAAAUCCUUUAUAAAAUCAGGACUUGAGUCAGUGUUUUAUUAUGAUUUGGAACAAUGUCUCUCACUUUUAAGCUCUGCAGUCGUUUACUUGAGCAGGAUUUCUAAAGCCUCUCUCUUGCAGUGCUCAUUUGGUCCCUCUGCUUUUCAGAUACAUGGAUACCUUCUCCUUCUCCUGCUCUCCUCUCUCCACCUCUGUCUGCAUAAUUGCUUGUACGGCUUUUGCACAAUGUGUCAAAAGAGACAGCUUCUCCCUUUCCGUCACAUUGAUCUGAGCUGCUUAUAAUGAAGUGAAAGUGAGAGCUGUUUGAGGGACGGCAUGCACCUCAUUUAGGAUAUCGGGCUGCCCUAAACAUGAUUUAAAAUUGAAAUCCAAUAAUCGUCCGGCUCUCAUCAGUGUUUACAUCAAAGUUAUUUUCUGGCAGUAGUUUAAAUCCCAUCUUUGCAAAGCCAUAGCCUAAUUUCAACAUACUUAUCCCUCAUACAGCACUGCACAUAGACUUUCAUGAGCUGUGUGAUGUUCAAGGUUCAGAGAUAUGGUUUCAGUAUUCCCCAAGGAGGAUGAAGGAUGAAGGAAGUGAGGAGGAAAAAAGCAGACUGCAAAUGAACUUGGGCUUCACUGGCUGAGAGACCCUUGAAUGCUGAGGUGGUGGAUCCAUAAGUGGAGGACGCAAGAGCUUAUUUAGCAACAGUAAUGAGCUGUGGACCCUCAUGCAGAUGGUCAAGAGACUGGGAUGCAAUUUAAUACUAUUAUUUCAGCAUCAAUAUUCACAAGUUGUGACCUGAAAAUCAAGGCAGUCCCCCUUUGACAUCUGUUCUGAACACAGAUCUUUGAAUGGCUUUUCUAAACUUUCACUCAUGAAUCAUUGUUGAGCAUCUUGUAAGUGACUUCAGUAACACUUUAUGUGACGCCUAUCUCUAUAACGCAUUAUAAAUAUAUUUAUAAUGCAUUCUAAUCACAUUAAAGCACUGUACAACUAUAGUUAUAAACACUUAUAAAUGAUCACAAUGCUUUAUAACAAUAAUCAUGAAACAUUAUAAAGCAUUUUAUCAUGACUUACAAGGUCUGGUAUUAUCAUGGGUUAUAACUGUUAACAACUCACUGACAGUGCCUACAUAGAUAAUGCAUUAUACAUAUAUUUAUGAUGUGUUAUAAUUUGCUUCUCAACUUGUAUAACUAUCAUUCUCAUCACUAUCUAUCAACACUCAUUAAUUAUCAUGUCAUGAUAAAAUGCUUAAUCAUGUGUUAUGAUUGUUGCUAUAAAGCAUUAUGAUCAUUUAUGAGAGAUUAUACCCAUAGUUAUACAGUGCUAUAACAGUGCGUGAUUAUAAUGCAUUAUAAAUAUAGUUAUAAUGCAUAAAUAGGCGUCAAGUAAAGUGUUACCGUGACUUCUUUUAAACUAGUUCCAGUUAAAAACCUUCUUGCUUUGAGGCAACACAGCUGUAAACAAAUAAAAAACAAAAACCUUCCAACAGACAUGUUGAAUCUGAAAAAAAAAACCAAAGAAAAUGAGAUUCAGAAAAAAAAAAAAGGCUCAUGUUUUCAUUUCAUCUUCCAAAAAUAGCCAGAGUGCAUUUUGUAGUGCAACAAGAGUCGACAGAUUUUACAUGACUAAUCCACUACCAUUAUAACGCACACACACACACACACACACACACACACACACAAUCACGUACGCGACAGGUUCACAGUAAGUGCUGGGCCACAGUCUUCUGGUGACACGUUUCAUGCACCGCUGCAGCAAACACGAGAAGUGCAUACCGGAAACAGGUCGACAAGGGUAAGAGCAAGAGCGCCAACACGGCGCACGCAAACGCUCACCCACCCGUCUCAUGUUUGUCGAUUAAAUAUGAAGCAAUUACACAUCCUUACACCAGCCACGCUACUUCUCAAUCUCACAUCUGAAUGAAGAAAUCUCUCUUUCGUCUGUUUUUUCCCAGCUGGGAGGAAAAAACUUCACCAACAUCUCACGGUGGAAACAAACAUCUCCUCCACAUCCUCCCAGGACCCUCUUAUGCAUCUUAUUGAUAGCAAAGAUGAGGGGUGAAUUGAUGAACUUACACUCGUAUGAAUAAAUUACUGAGCCAACUUGUACGGGAAUACAUUUACAUCUAGAUGAGAUUAAAGGCCCGACAUACAAGCUCAUUACUGGCCUCUGCUGCUUCCUUCAGACGUCAUCACCCAAUUGCAUCCUAACUCAUUCCGCGGUACUGCUGCUGUGACUGGUAGAACAAUAAGUACAGUAACAGGCUGAUUGAUGUGAUAAAUCAGAGCGAGGGGACACACUGGAGCCACCAGCCGCACAUUAUGAAGGCUGAGCUUUAGUUGCUGCACUGGAGACCCCUCGGUGCAGAUAAAUGUCUCCACAGUUGAAGUCGAGGGAUUCUUAAUUAAAGGCUAAAUAGGACAGCUCUACCCGCAGAAAUUAUCAAAAGAAAAUCCUCCAACGAUUUGCACGCUGACCCCUUUUCUUCUACUGUUAUGUGUUGAAAUGAUCCUUGGAGAGCCUUUUAUGUCUGCAAAUUAAACACAGUUUAUGCGCUAUCAUUUUAUGUGGCUCUUUAAGGAGCAAAAAGCAGCAACAUAAAGACCUGUUUAACAAGCAGUGUAGUCUAAACAUGUACGUAACUCCUCACACCAGGUCCAUUAACACUUCUGCACACACAUUUAUGGAUUUAGGUGUUUUAUGUUGCAUUUUACGGCCUGCCAUUAAUCACAUUUUUGGACAUUUGUGCUCAGAUGUUGAUAACAGAGGUGGAAAUCACUUCCAUUGUUUUGUAUUUCUACUAUAAUACAUUCAUCUCCAUUAAACUAUAUUAACAAUUUAUGGGUUUUUCUGCACCAUUUUUAUUUAGUGUGGCAUUUACGGUGUCUAGCAUACUCUGUUUUUACAUUUAAAAUAAAUGAGUUUUUACAGUAGGUUAUAAAGUAACAUCGUGCAUCAAAUACAUUAAAUCACAUUAAAGUAAUGUUCUCAAAAUAUUAAUGAACACCUUUAAAUCAAUGAGCAGAAAAGCUGCUGUGAGAAAAUUUUGGUUCGACUUGAUGUUGAUGCCUCUUGUCUCUUGUUCUGUUUGUGAAAGUUUUUCAGACAAAAUCCUAAUGAAAAAGUCAAAACAUGAUGUUUAAAGUCCCACUUCAUUUUUUUUUUUCUACCUAAAGUGUUCUCAGUGGUCUUUAAAUUGUGAUUAUGAAGUUUUUACCAAAAAUCGCGUUACCUCCAGUAGAUUAUUAGCAAUUCACCUCUGAGUCGUGGGCGGAAACAGCACUGCUCUACACACUCGUCUUCACGUUAGCUUGCAGCCUAACAUCGCCUGUGAAGUGAAAGUGGCAGGUAACAUAGGAGCUAUUCAGCUCUCGGACACUAAUGUCUUUAGGGCCAUGAUAAAAGUUAAUAUCAAAACUAGCUUUCUUAUGAGAACUGCAAUCCACUAACGCACACGCUUGUUCAGCGAUCAUCCUCCAUAUUUCUCCUCUGUAUGCAGGGUGUGGCCUGCACUGUGGGGCUGCAGGGGCGGAGCUUGGAUUGGUUCUGUACUAAAUCUCACUGUGUCUGAGCCUGCCGUUUGGGUCUGUCAGAGAUUCACAGCGAUUUUAAUGAAGAAAUACUCAGAAAAGCAAUUUUGCAUUUAUGAUAUGUCCUGUAGCAUCACAAAAAUGCCAUAUGAACAUACAGAAAACAAGAAAAACAUGAUUUUUAUCGGAGUGGGUCUUUAAGGCCUGCUUUCAAGUAUCUGGUUUGGCACUUACCCCUACACAGAGGUUUAAGCAUUAAAAUCCUAAUGAAAUCUGGCUGAUAGUCUUAAUAUAAACUUUAAGAUCAUUAAAAGUCAUUGGUAUCAAAUUCAGUCUGUUUCUCAACCGUUAAAAAAUGAUGCAUUGUACCUUUAAAGCUGGAUUCAUAUAUACAUAAAACUCCUAAAAAGUUUCUGGUGAUUUUCAACCCAACAUUCCCUAGACUUUUCACCUCCUGGUGAAAUUUUCAUGAGAAGCCAGAGGGAGUUGGUGCAAGAAAUAUUUGGGAAAAUUCACCAUGAGUAAAGUAGGUAGGGAGCAAUGAUGCCAACAUCAUGCAAGGGGUGGGGACUUAGAAGCGACACAUAACAAGAUUAAAAAAGAAAAAAAAGAAAAAAACAUCAACAGUACAGUGGGGAAAACAGUCAAUGCGGAGAACAAUCACAGGCAGAAUGCACGUUAUAAUGAUAUCCCAUCUUUCAUUGGCAGUAAUCUGCAGGGAUUUAUCUGUAUAAACAGAUAUCUGCAUGCAAGUGCAGCUAAAAGAGUGGGGCCACCGUGUAACUUCUUAUUUACAGUGUGAGAAACAGAUAAAGUGGUUUUACUGUGGGGAAGUAGAUGCUGCAUGUAAACAGAAGUGUUGCCUGGAAGUUGUCUGACUGUAACUGCAGGCUGGACCAGAAUAACUGAUAAGAUGACACCUGCUCCCAGAGGCUUACGUUGCAUAGAUUGUCAGAUGUGAUUGCCACUGGGUCCUGAGAAUGCAUUAAUAUAAAUGUGAAAAAUCCUCUCAGAGCAGCUUUCUCUUGUGCUUCGUCUGCCAUCACGCUGUAAACAUAACACUGUGGUUUUGACCGAAUGUCCCUGCCUCUUUACAUCCAAACAAGUACAAUUCUCCUCUUACUAUAUUGCGAGAGAAAGGGGAAAAUGAAGGAAAUAUUAACCCUGGCAAUAGAGGUAGGCAGAAAAGCGCAUGGAACAGCAAAAUUAUAUGCAUCAGCACGCCUGCUCAUUUGCUCUAAAUGGUACAGACAAGUUUCUGCUGCAUUCACACAUUGGCUGCCCAGACUUUAAACAGACGUGGUACUUGGGGGCUCGAAGGCUGUACACAUAGACUGACAUUUGCAUUCUCACAUGGAGACCCCUCUGUAUAAUGUCAUGACAUUUUGAGAAGUGCAAAGUACGUCUGAAAGAAGCUAGACCGUCAUUUUGGACACAGAUGCCAGCUGUUAUCAAGAAAAAAUCUCUGUGGACUGCCAAUGGCUAGUUGGUGAGGCAUUUUGCAGAUGUAGAGCCCCUUUGCUGGUGUUUGAGACCAAAAGCACGUGGUCAAAAAUGUAAUGCAGAUUUCUGUGUAACAGUCAAAGGGCAUCAGAAUGAGGAAAUUAAAUGACUAUGCUUAAUUCCUUUAUAAUAUCAAUCUGCCAGAGCCCUCAUGGGUGAAAACAGCAAGGCUGCAAGUGCAAAAAAAAAACUGGAGCUGAAAUGGCCUGCAGCUCAAUGUGAAAUUAAAAGUGAAAGACAUGGACAUAAAUGGAGGGAGGAAAACAACACAGAGUGUAUAGAGGUGAAGGUGGCUCCUCAGGGAAAUCUGCUGAAGGGGAAGCUCAGGGGGAGGAUAAGACCCCUGUCAUCGCUGACCCGAGUAUAGACACAUCAUGCACAUGAGCACACAUGAAUGAAAGCCUGAGAACACUUGGAUUGAAGACGCAUAAAGCAAACAGAGGGUUUUCCGAGACAAAAAAAAUUUAUAGAAACCGUAUAAUCUUGCCCAGGUCAUGAUAUGCAGCAGAUAAAAAUAGAGAGAGCGAGAGAAUGGAGCUGAACCUUAUACACCACCGGAAAAGCACUGCCUGAAGAGUGUGGGCAUCAGCACCUGUCACUUCUCGCUUCCAGAUGUUCAAUAGAUGCCUUGUGGCACUCUGCAUGGCCCAUCUAUCACUCACACAAAGCCAUAACCUUCUGCUUCCCCGUUCGCCAUUACAUAUUCAGGCAGCAAUCUGAAUAUGAGAUGCACAUGGGACCACGGUGGAGAGCGGGGAGUGAAAGGUUAAGUCUCAGGCUGCGGGUGACAGCGAGGAAAGGGGACCAUGCAUCCAUGUUGGCAGGUACAUGUUAAAUAGCUCAAAGAAAUGGCUGCUGUUCAUAUUUACGGCAGGCAACAGAGACAGAGCAGCGCUGUCGAGGACCUCAUGGGUGCCAGCUGAUGGACAGGCACUGCUAUGUGGAUCAAAUCACCACAGAUAGAUGUGACUCCAUGGGAUAGAACGGCUGUCCCUCUGGUAAGAGUUGUCUUGUCGAGAGAAAAGGACAAUCUCAUAUUUUUUGGAGAGUCAACAUAAUCAACUUCAGCCAUCUUCCUCUCUCUCUCCCAUCACAUUGGCAUCAGAAAAAAUACGAGUAAAUGUCUUUUAAGAUUAAAAAUUUUAUGAAAAAAAAAAUUACUAAUUUUUCCGCUCAUAUUGGGCCUUAGUAGUCUUCUGUAACUUUUGCAAGUCUGCCGUUGUAACAAUUGUUAUAUUUUAUUUUAUGUAAUAUGUCUUAUAUGUAAUUUACGGUAAACACAGCUACUUUAUUUCUCUGUUUUUAUGUGGACUGUAAACAUUUGAGACUAUUUUCACAUCUUAAUCUAGAAGGUUUAGAUCAGACAGCAUGAGUUUACUCAAAUAUAAAACAGUGUAAAAAAUCAUUCCACUAUGUAGGCCUACUUAACCUGACAUAGUAAGGUUGGUAUUUCAUACCUAGUUCCUCUUUUCUAUUAUUCUGUUAAACUGAGCAAACCUUCAAUAAACAAAUAAACCAGCUAUAACGUGGGGAAGUGUGAUGAUAAAAUAAUGCAGGUAUUUGAUUAAUGACAGUCUUCAGGGGAACAUGUCGUGCAAUUACUUGUUUUACUGCAACUGCACCUUUUUUAUUUUAUUGACUGGACCUUUACUGCAUAAGAGUGAUACAAACCUUGUAUGUCAGAUCAAUACCACAGAGGAAGCCUAAUUCAUGAAAACAUGUAUUUUGAUAGAGGUGUAUGAAGACCGUCUGUGCUCCACUGCAUCUUCUGGAUGAAUCAAUGUAAUCGUAAUCUGUUUGUUGAUUUUAUUUUUUUUAAAAAGUAGAUUGUUUCUGCUUUAGUCUAUUUUGACCUCGUUGUAAGUGCUCACACUGCAAUAACAAAGAGAUUUCACACUGUAUUUUUUGAGUGUCACAAUCAUGAGCCUUUUCCUGGUUUUUAUCAUAUUUGACAUAUAGUGUUUCCAUGCACACAGAUUAACCAGGUUAUUCAUAUCCUUGUAAACAUGAUGAAUACGUGUAUCAUUCCCAAUUCAAUGGCUGCAUUCUUUGAAAGACACUUUUCAAGACGUGACAAAGCUGUCCAAUUAGAAAAGAACCACAAGAAUUGACUGAUAACUACAUUCCCAAAGAUUCCACCUUUCAUGGUCCAACCUAAUGCAGACAUAUUUCAAACAAGAUGUCACUCUUAAAAUAUUAGCACCUCUAGCUCAAUUGAAAAGCCAGGUCAUAAAAUUGGCUUUUAAACUUUCAAUUGACGUGAAAUUGAAAGGUUAACUUAUAUGACUCUUGUUAUCGGCCAUUUUUUUCUUAUUCUAGUGGUAAUUAUUUGGUCUGUUUUUGUCCUUAUGAGAUAUAGAAGCAUGAGGAGGAGAGUGCUCAGUAGUGGGCCUACCGUCACACUUUUAUUAUAACAACGUAUAGGCAGGUUAAAGGGUAACGCAGUUGACAUUACAAACAUGAAAUUGCACUUGGACCAGACUGUUUUAUUUCAGUUUAGCAUCAGCAGUUAAAGCAGCCUACAUAAAAAAAACACAUGGGUCACCGUCUUAGAUUGAGAUUCAGCUUAUGUUGUUUUUAGCUCUUCAGAUAUCUACAUCAAGCUAAUUAUUUCCCUCCAUUGGUUAAAUGCCUGUGCCAUAUCCCUCUAACAACGGUUUUAUGACGAUAUAUCAAAUUAUAUGACUUUUGGAAAUGAAAAGCAGUGUGAUUUUCCUUGCUGGAGUUUAUAUUAAAUGAAGUCAUUAAAUAGUGUGCUGUGUUUUGACAUUUAUCUACAGCUUCUAAAUAAAAUCUGGCUCUUAUAAAACGUCCUUGAGCAGGCUUCAUCGGGUUUACUCCCCACCGAGCACGGAGUAAUAAAUGAAAUUGAUACCAAAAUGGACUUCUAAUCCAAAAACAUCAGAUGUCAUUUACUGUAGCAGACAUGAGCACAGGGAUGAUUCAUCCUCUGUCCUUGAAUGCAAUUUGUGGUUCGGUGCAACCUUUGGCCUGGGCGUGCUGUGACAGUACAUUUCUAUAGGUCACAAGGGAAGACCAUAAACAUGUUGUUAGUGAUGUUGGCUGGCAAACACUUACAGAACACAAGAAACACGAAAACAAACCCAGCAGAGUGUAAAAUCGUCAUAAUACAUUGGCAGGAGGCAACGGAGGAGCUGCCGCCUGUCAGUCAGUUUUAUAUUUAGAGCCAGAGUAGCUGCUUUGAUUCACGGGCAAAGACGCAGAGACACAGUGCUGCAUGUUCUGAGAGGAAGAUACAAGAAUAAAAAAUUAAUAGCUUUCUCACAAGACAGAUUAAUAAUUUCUGACACCUGCAGUUUACCUAAAACUACCUAUACUGUUUGUUUUGUGACGUCAGUUUAAACGAAAAACCUUCCGCUUCCUUUGAACAUAUAACUCUCACUACCCUCAAAUUCUCAUCGUCUACAUCAGACUGAUGGCUGUUAUGUAAUUUCCCACAAAGACAGGCUUGAACAAAUAAGUGUUUCCUUCACUGCUGUUCAGCUGGAAAAUACAGCUGUCUUAUUGGCUUAUCAAGCUAGCACUUCAUACACACACUUACUGUUUGUACUCAAAACUAGGAUUAAUGCACUUUUUCACCACAGAGCAUUUAAAUACGAUUGAGACUUUCAGUUUCAACCACAGAACAAUAGGGUUCAUAUAGACUGUAUAUAGAAUGGACAGCAUCUGCCUCCUCGCUGGGUGAAGCCACUCCGAGGAACAGCACCCUCUGGUGACGGGCUGUGGUAUAGGUCAUAAAUCCCACCUCUUCCAGCAAAGCUUAUGAAGUAGUGGACGAACUUUAGAAAUUUAUUACACAGAAUAUAAAUUCUGCUGCUUGCGAUGUUGACAUGUAGUUGUUGUAAGACUGGUUUGUGCUCAAGUCCUCUUUUUUCUGUACAGCUCCAUUUUUUAAAUUUAUUAAGCAGUUUAUGUUUUCCAAGAUUGAGACUUAAUACAGCCUAUGGGCGUACAAAGAUUUUGUAGCUCACCAGGGAUAUGCUGUUUGAGCCGAGCGUCAUCACAUCACAUCUCCCACUAAAUGCGUACAAUGCUACUGCGCAAUGUUAGCUUCAGGAAGUGGAGAAAAAUCACGGAAAUACCGAGAGCUUUUCGGCUUCAAAUCCGUAUACUGGCAGAAGGCGGAACCAAGUUGUCCAUAGUAAAUACAGUCUAUGGUUCGUAUUUACAAAGGUAAAGCUAGUUACACACAGUGCAGCUUCUUUAAACAAGUGUAGUCACUCCCUGCUGGCAGUUAAAGGUACUGCAGGCUCAAACAUAUUCACCAUCAGCUUCAUACUUUUUUAAAAUCCCCCUCUUUCGUCGUGAGAGGAUUUGUUCUGGUAAAUGGUAUGAACUGGCCCAAAACUUUAUUGCACAAAGGGCAAAUGUUGUUGUUUUGAAUCACACUGAAUGGUAGGGGACUGAUUUACUGUGUCCAUCCAUUUGAAAAGCCCUUUCCUGGAUGUUUCAUUAUGUUGAUAAAGCUGUUAGCAUCUGAUACAGAGGGAGCGAGGAUGACAUGCAACAAUGAUCCAAGGUCAGAUUUACACGCAAGACAUCCCGGCAACAUGACAAGCACCUGAGCCAGCUGAGCCUCUGAGGUGUCUCAGCCAUCUCAUGUUCAUCUCACUUCACUCUGAAACACAUUGUACACACGUACUGCUUCCACAGGGGGGGUGGGGGGCCUCAAAGGUCAGCGCAGUUUGGCCCACAUUUGUUGCUUAAAGUCAGUCCCCGGCAGAGUGCCAGUGUGCUGUGGCACUGAGGCAUGAUAGAUGUACGAGCCAAGUGUUUGUGUGUCUGUGCAUGCAACCGAACCUGUUGCCGGAGCCUGUUUCUGUCAUUUGUUUUGGUCUGUGUGGGUCUGAAUAUAUUACCACAAAUGGACAAAGUAAUCAGUGCCAGGAAUAGCAUGAAAAUGACAGGACAUCUGAAAGUCAAUUGGGAUUGCAUUUAUAUUGCAGGAUAGGGAUAGGCUACGAUAAAUAUCCCAGACAGACAUACACCAAAUUUAUCAGGUGAUCACGGAGGGAGAUUGCAGAAGAGCAGUUUAUUCCUGUUCAUUUAAAAUGGGUGACAGCACAUGGAGGACGAGAGGGGAGACAGCCAGCCCCCAAAAAUAAAAUAGAUGAGUUUUGCUGUGUCACGUCGCUUCCCUAGGGGUGGAGAUGUCAUGAGUCCAGUGUUAAAUAAAAGAAGAUACUUCUCCGGUUUAAUUCAAAUAUCACUCUCGAGGGAAAAAAGUAGAUAUUACCUUAAUGACCCUGACAAUACUCUUUGUGAUACAUCAAGACAUUGUCUAAAGCUGUGCUGAUGAAUGUUGAUACGUGCACAUUUGCAAGGACAUUUUCCUCAGAAUGAAGUGCAGUAAAUUUGACUUUGUAGGAAUAGGAGACAGGAGACAAUCACAGCCAUGAGAAUGGGGUCAAAAAAACAUCUAAAAACACGACAACUGGCAGAUAAAGGAAAAAGCUCAUUUCAAACCAGAGGAAGUGUUAUCUGCUGCUACAGAUGCAGUGAGUACAACUGUGAGUCUAAUGUAUUUUUAAUGGCAGAAAUCUAAAAUCAUUAUUAAAUUACAUCCAAAUCAAUAUUUUGUGUCAAAUAAUUGAUUUUUUAAGUAAGUAGCCGUGUAAUAAAACUGAGAUAAUAUAUAGUGUGUGGGUUGCUGUGACAGGGGAACACUUUCAGAGUGAGACCACAGACAGUAUAAAACAUGGCUGUGGUCUUUGAGAUGUCACCCAUUUGUUUCAGCCACCAUAUUGGAAAGUUUGUCUGAACUCCAACUUUUAAUCAGCUGCUCCACAACUUGUGUUUUUCCCCUCAUAUGCAAAUUUAUGCACAGCUCUGAGCGUUUUUAUCAUCUUAAAGUAAGUGUUAUGAGAAAAUGUGCUCCGGGUACAAUGUAUAGGAUAAAGUAAAGAGCAACAGACACAGUGAUCAAGUCGGGCUCAAGAUGAGGAACUUUUAGUUUGUAUCAAUUUCAGCGCCCCCUGUGAACUUGGCUGUCUUUACUAAUCUUACACAUGACUAAGUAGUUUCUCCUGACAAAAAAAAUGUCAUCCUGCUGACUUUUGACGCUCAAAUUUGGGAUUGUACACUAUUAAGGGAAUAAAAAAAAAAGGGGAUGCUAAAAUAACUUAGAAUAAGUAAAAUAACAAGUGCUAAAAUAACUUUCGUAGUGUAGCCAUUUUGUUUCCGCCUCCGAUUUUGCUUUUUUCUGACUUGGUAAUUGAAACACUGGUAACUGGGGUGUGACGUCAUUCCCAGCUCAGACAUCUGACUUCUGAGGUAACUCGAAUGGAGCAUAUAUCUCUGCUGGGCUGACACCUACCUCCUCUCAGUAAUUUUAGGGAUGAAAAAUUACAACACAAAAAUACUGAUCUUGUUUACUUCACGGACAUGAAAAACUCCUAAAAAGGAGCUUUAAAAGUCCCAUUUCAACUCAGGACUUCAUGGGAUUUUCAUUGGCUUUCCUUGAAACUGCAUUUCUUUUUUUUUUUUUCCAUACAUUUUUUUGCUGGUUGAAUAUCCAAUGGCAACGUAUGAAAGGGUUAAAUUAAGGACAUGUCUGCCAUUUUAUACUGUUUUUAAUCGACAAAGCAUCAAAAACACCACCGAGGGAAGGAUAAAGUUUACUGUCUAUAAGCCAACUGUUCCUGUCAUCUUCAGAAACCUUCAGAAAUCUUCCGAACGAUGAUGUAAUGGUGACAGCUCAGCACAGGACAGCGUUUUCAUGUGCCCUGAUUGGCCAGCUGCCUGUCACCCUGAGGCUUUACAACUCAUCAGACCCACAGUGCAAGGCUGUCAAAUCUCUCUCUGCCAUCUUUCAGCACUGGACUCAUCUACUGUAUAGUACUACAAAGGCUAAACAGAGGACAGGUGGAGCAAUCAUUCAUGCAAAUAUUAGUCAGAUUGCAAAGGACGAGAAUGAAUGAGGACAACUUUAAAGCUGAACUGCAGAGAGAACUUUAACAGACUCCCAAACUUUUCUAUGUGGAGGUUUUUUGUCUACCAUUUCUUGCUUUUUUCUCCUCUUCAUGUCAACAACAAAUGAUAUUUUUAGCAGAUUAAUCAGGGUUAAAUCACAGUUUUCACAGAGGACAGGUGUGUUAAAGCAUGAUUUUCCUGGUGUGUGUGUGUGUGUGUGUGUGUGUACACGUGUGUAGAUUUGUGAGCUUGGCUUCCUCCCAGCUGUCAAAGGUCAUGGUUAUACAUGUGGGACCUUGAUGCUGUUGCUGCAGCGAAAGGAGUGUUUCUGCCUAGACUGAUGCAAUGAGAGCUGAAGGAUGUUUACCGUCAGGGGUCAAACCACAGUGCUUAUUUCUCCUCCAUCUAAAGUGCACAGUGGUUUAUACAGACAGCAGGAUGUGCAUGGACAUGUAGUGGCCAAGAGCAUAAACAUUCAAUUGCCUUUAAAGCAACAUAACUCUUAAGAAGAGCCACAUUAUAGAAUAAUUUAUGUAGGGAGUAGUUUGGUGGAUUUUGGGCCAUAAAUGCUUUGCUAGGGACCACGUAGAAGUCUGGAACAGAGGCAGGUUAUAUAUAAAAAAUGGAUAAUGGCAUUCAAAAGAAGUGUAGAUUGUUAAGGUAUGUGGUAGCAUAAAUGUAAAAAGUUGGAGGAAUCCUUGAGGAAAUGGGGGGAAAAAAAUCCUCUCUUCUCAUCAGUUUAAGAUUGGCAGUUGGCUUUUUUGAUGUGACUGCUAAUCUUCCUCCUGCCUGAGACGUUGCCUGGUAGCAUUAAAGAACAAUAAAGCAGCUGUGGCACACAAGGGUCUGGGCUCACAGCUUUACACAGAUUCAUUUCUUCUUCUCCUGGAGUGGAAAAGGGCACAAAGUGUUUGCUUUCUUAGCAUUCUCCAUACAUACUGCAGCUACCUGCAGGAACAUUUAGUCCACACAGGAAGAAUAUCCAGGCAAAGACUAGCAGGAAUAAAUGUCUGUGGCUUGUUUUAUUUUUUUUUAUCACGUAUUAUGUGCCAUGUUUAGACUGUCAUGUGUAAAGUGCCAUUAAAAUGAGGUGUAAAAAUCAGGGUUCCUAUGCAAGUAUGCACUGCAAAAACAGCCCUACUAGAAAGAAGCUAAAUAUUCUUAUAUUUAAUCAAAUAAUCUUGUAUCAAGCUAAAAAAAUCUGCCAAUGGGGUAAGCUUUUUUUGCUUGACAAGAAUUCUCAAAAUAGGAACAAUUUUCUUGGCCCUGACAGACUCAAAUGAAACUUAAAACUAGACAGAAAAUCUUAUAUUAAUCUAAUUUUCCUACAGCAAGAAAUGAAAAAUGAAGAUGAAGUUACUUAAAAUAAAAAUUUUAGUCUCUUGAAUAAAUGAACUUCAAGAAAAUACACCUAAUCUAGGAUUAAUAAUGAGCAUGACAGUAGUUCAAAUAAGACACAAUUUCUUAAAACAGCAUAGCAAAUAUAAGCAAUGUUUCUUCAAUCAAGAUACCAAAACAUUCUCAUUAAAUGUAUAUUUUUCUUUCCACAAGCAAGCAUGUGGAAAGAAAGCAUGUUUGUUUUUGUUUUUUGUUGUUUUGCAGUUUUCAUCUGGUCAUUGUAUUAUGUUUUGUGUAGUACAGACUAGCCUACUGACAUCUUUAUAUGUCAGAUACUGUAUGAAGCAGCAGAUUCUGUCAGGUUUAGAUGACCUGCAAUGGAAGUCUUAAUAAAAAAAUCAACUGUUCUUGCUUCAUGGCAUUCUUAAAUUGAGAAGUUGUACAUAUGUCAAUGAGACGAAUGAUCUUUUUGCUCCGCUGGAUUUUAUUGUAAAACAUUUUUCUACUCUAUUUCUGGUUCAUUCUAUCUCAAAAUUAGCUGGAAUAUCUUAUCAAGAAAAAGUUAGCCAUUUUCUCUUUAAAUUAGAUAAUUUUUCUAAUGCCAAACAUGCUUGACAAGAUUUAUAUUCUUUUUGUACAAAAGAUAAAACUUAUUUCUUUAAUAUAAGGCUGUUUUCCUUUCUUGAAAUUCCUUUUUUUUGCAGUUUGGAAAGUAUGGAAGUACUUUGAUCAAUUUCCAGGUCUUAAAAGUAUGGUAAAUGAGACAUAAAGUAUGGAAAAAUAUCUAUGUUUCCACAGUUCUAAAAUACUGUUUUCUAAAAAUACAAAAGUAGGUAUAAGUAGGUUAUGGAAAAGUAUGGAAAUUCAAACUGUGUAGGAACCCUGAAACAUUUAUAGUAUGUUACAAAUUCAUCCAUCUUAACCUUGCAAGCUGACACAUUUUUCCCUGUCAGGGCCAGAUUAGCAUCAUUAGCAUCAUCAUUAACAUCUGUCAGUCUCUUGAUCCAGUCUAGCCUCACUUGAGAGCAAGAUGUCAAGGUACCUGAGCAGCAUAUAUCCUGUUUGAAGUUACUCAUUAUUUCCCAUUGGAGAACUAUGGCCUGUUAUUUGAUGAGUGUACAAAAUAACUGUUUUAAUGUUAUUUAAUGGGCUCUUACAAUUUAACAAAACUAAAUGACAGUGCUUUAUAUCUGAAAUCAAAUAUGCAUUAUACUGCUCAUUCACAUCCACAUCAAAAGCUGAGCGCAUUAAUCUUACAAUAAUGUGUGGACUCAUGUUUGGUCUCAGAUCAGAAAAAUUUACUUGUAUUUCUGCAGAAUCUAUAAGAAAUGUAUGAGUUCACAAUCCCUUAAUACGCAGAAGUUACACACAGCUGACAGAACACACAGGGAGAACUACUGAGGUGCAUAUUUUAGAGAUAUCUGAUGUUUGCACUCUAAGCUGUAGUGUCACAAUGACAGUCUAGCAGAACAAACAGCCCAAAGCAACAAAUACUGCUGGUUUUUAUAGAAUAAUAAAGAAAGAAGCGUUAAUCCCAGCGCAAUGUCUCAAGAAUCUAGCUCUGGGUAGCAUGCACAAGAAAACUCUCAUAAAUAGUGAAGAGGUAUCUCUUGGCUUAUGGUCACAUGCAGCAUAUAUAUGAUGCAUGAUACAAACGCACAAACACCACUUUAUUUUACCUGUGGGCAUCGAAACAACCUGCCAUAGAUUGUGCUUUUUUUUUUUUUUUAUCUAGAGCAAUUGCCCACGCUAUACAUCUGGCGCCAAAGUGCUUCAUCACAUCCGACUGCUCAAUAACAGCUACAGUCAGAGACACAAUGCCAGAGAGGCCAUUGCAAUUUUGGACUGCGAUAUGGUUGAAAUGCAUUAAUUUAGCUGGAGCAGAUGUGGCGCGCAGAUGCACUGAGAGGUUUAUCACAACGGCUUCUCCGUCCCUUUUGUUGGCGGAUGAAAAGUAAAGUGACUUAGCCAAGUGGAAACUAAAAAUAAUAAAGCCUCUUGAUAAUAUAUAGUGCUGCUCGCAUAAGCUCCGAGUUAGACAAAAACAACCUAUGGGCUCUCAGUUUCAAAAACAAGAGAGAAAACUUGAGUGAAUGUCUGAUGUGGGAACUCUCUGGCGGCUCAUGUGAGAAAUAUGCAGACAAAUGUGGUAUGUAGAGCAAUGUGAAGACUGCUUCCCUGUGGAUUAGCCAUGGUCAAACACACAUGAUGAAUUUCAACAUAUCCAGCUAAGCAUUAAUUAUGAAUCACCUGCCUUGUUGGCUAUGCAUCAGCUGAGAGGAGACAAACUAAGGCAUACUGCAUGGUGGGCGCAUGAAGCUGAGAAAAGUGCUUAUACAGCACAUGAAAAGUGUGAGGGUGGCAUGUUGUGUUUGUGUGGGAGGAAGUGUGUGAAUUCACUGUAUUGUCUUUGAGAACAAAAAAAAACAAAAACCUGUGUGUGUAUUGGAGAGAGGGGGCGUGGAGGUCGUUUUCAUGAUGUGUUGUUCCCCUUGUGGUUUGGGUGCAAUCCCCUCUAUUUGAUUCCAGAUACAUUACUUUUAGAUUGAUUACAUAGAGACUUUAAACAACGGUAAUGCUAUUCAGAUCUGACACACAAGUCAAAGUCCCAAAAGAUUGAGGAUAUUUAAGAAUAAUCGCUGAGCACCACUACCACUACACGCACACUUAAGUACACAUAAAUACAUAAAUUCACACUGGGCAAUGGAUGCCUGGGUGACAAGGCACAUCAGUCACACCACAGGCAUUCAUAAUGUUGAGCAGGCCAACCUAGUAGGAGGCAUGACAUUAUUCCAACUCAUUACCAUCAACCUGGAGUAUUGUAACGUGACAUGACUCAUCUUGAUGCUUGUUAAUACUCUGUUUUUGCAGAGGUAAUCCUGCUGUGAAAUGGGGACAGUGGGUGCCCAGUGGCGUGUUCCCAACAAAUUGAAAAAGGCCAUGGAGCAAACAUGUUGUUUGCAGAGUGGGAGGAUCAAGAGGUACAAAUCAGGCUCAAAUUCAGUGAUACUGAAGUUGUGAAUUUCAGGUGUAGUUAUUCCGGUAGUAAAGGAAUGUCUGGGUUUCUCUCAGUUGACUUCUCAGCGACCUCAGAUGAUAAUGGAGCACAUGACAUUCUCUCUUAAGAAGAUGUACGACAUAAGGGACAUGAGCAUCAAUAUAAAAUCUCUACUGGGAUUCAUUAUUAUUCAUCAUUUAUUUAGUAUUCAUACAUUUAUCACACAUGAACUUGAAGCUUCUGUGAGGAGUUUUUUCACCUUUAUGAAAAACACUUAAAUUCAAUAUAUGAUUCACAAAUGCAAACAAGACCCUUUGCAACAAAACUAAGGUAUGAUUUCUUAUACCCAACAUAUCAGCUUUACCGAAGAUUACAUCUCAGAGAUACAUGCUCCUUUUUUGUGGGAUUGGCAGGAACUCUAAACUUAUCAACACAGAUCAUCAGACAUGUGACUCUAAAAUCCAGCCUACAUAUUUAUUUAGCUGUAGAAUGAGUAUAUUAAUGAAACAGCUGAGGAAUAGUUUACCUCACUAUUGAUACUAUUAAUAUUUUAACUCAUAUUCAUCAAAGUGCCAAUACACUUCCAUUCACUGUGGACUAAAUGCGAGGCUUGUAAUGGAGUGCUUCACAGUGUUGUUUUCAGUGUGACUCCUUUCUAACAUUUUGGCCCUGGAAAGCUACAGAAUUGUCCUCUCCUGUAAAGUUUAUAUAUCUUAAGCUUUUAAUCUUACCAGUAAUUUGAUACCAUACAGACUCAGAUCAUUUAUCCACACAAUAGUUGGCGCAUUUGUUAACAUUAUGGGUGUAGAGUUCUCCUCCUUCUCUAUACCUGUUGCUGUGAGUACUAAAGUUUACAUGCACAAUUUCUCCUCGUUUGACUAUUUCAGGGGACCCAUCUGAUAAUUUGAACACUGACCAGAACCUUUCAUGAUCUGAGGGAAAGGGGGAGUUGGUAUGGCAGCAGACAUAACCAAACAUCAUUAAAGUUAACUGCUGAGCUACUGCCUCAAUCAGUUUGUGAUUUUGGAUCAAUCAAUCAAUUAAGCUUUAUUCAUGUAGCACUUUUCAUACAGGUCAGAUGCAAUUCAAAGUGCUGAUUUUAAACAUAACAGUUGAGAGUGGGCAUACAAAUGAAAUGACAGAAAAUAGAAACAGGAUCAGUAGAGACUACUGCACAUCAAUAGCAGUACAAUAUGAGUAAUUAAAACAUUGAAUAAGAUAAAAAAAAAGUUAAAAACAUUCAAAAGAAAAGAUAUUGUAAAUAUUGAUUUAACAAUUGUACUGAUAUGUUUCACAUGUUAUUCUAAGGAGAGAGAUGAGAGGCUGGAAAUAAAAGAUGUGUUUUUAAUCUACAUAAAAAUAAUGAAAUGUGGCUUUUAAAAAGUUCAGAUAAGUCUUAAAAAAAGUCACUGAAUUUAUACCAUUUUCUAUACAAUAAUAAUUUCUUUAUAGCAGGACUCUAUUACAGAGCCUAUAUCAUCUUUUUUCCUCAUCUAAUCUCAUCAUUUGUAUAAUUUUUAGCUGUCUAUAUAAAAUGUUUAAAAUACAUGAUGAAAUUGCCAUUCAGUCGGUGAAGACACCUCUCUCUUGAAGUCGUUUGAUGUAACAGCUCUUCAGAGAUGUGAGUAAAGUAUAAAUUUAACGUGAACAAGCUGUUCUGCUUUUAAACACCCUCACAAAGUCAGGAUCAAAUGAUCAGUGCUCACUAAUGUUUUACAAAGUUACACUACAGUAACUCAAACAUAAAUUUUACAAGUAUUGGAUAAUUUGUGUCACUUAUUUUGCCAGCACACCUGAUCCUGGGUAAAUGCUUUAACAAUAAAUCACAGCGUUAGUAAGGAAAUGGAUAUGUGCCGUUUACUAAAUGGAUCACUGAAUCAUUUCAAGCAAAGCGUCCGAGUGAUUCUUUAAAUAAGACACUCGUCAAAGUGACACAAUAUCGCUGAAGAAUUAUAGGCAAGGAGGUAUCGUCGGACAGUUUUUAGACAUUUUUACUGAGUAAAACACUGUGAUAAAUUCAGUUUUGAGAAACAUACCUCUGUGCAGCAGCGUAUCAAAACGCCACUAUAAAUCCUGUUCUCGAACAUGAGAAGUGCACAGUCUGAGGCAGAUUUGGCUGUCUGUUUUAUCAAUAAAAAGCAUCACUAACUCUCCUGUCCAUAAGGCUCAACAGACUUGGAUUUAGAUUUGCUUCACUGGGAGAUACAGCCUGUAAAAUAUGAUAUAUGAGGCUUUUUUCUAACCGAUGAAACAUUUAUCUGGUAACCAGAAACUGCAACAGCGUGGUGAGUUGACAUUGUUAAAAAUGAUUCAAAAUGAUAGUUACAAACAUUUAAAGAAAUUUUGAUUUAAAAAAAAAAAAAAACAUUUAGUAAAGAAUUCUCCUAUAUGCUUGAAACCAAACAUAUGUUCAGUGUCAAGUACUUGUAUGAAUCCUUAUCAGAUGGGUCUGUCCAGCCUUCAGAACCAAAAGUCUGACUUGAACUGUAAGUCGGACAGCUCAGCAGCUCAGGUUACUAGAACAAGAAAUAAAAAAGUAAAAUAAAACUGGAUAAAAUGUGAUAAACCCUGGGGUAAAUCUGACUUGAUAGACCGUAACAUUGUAGGUUGAAAGCAGUUUUAAAGUUCCUGCUCCACUGAAGAAUAGACUCAAAUCAAUACUGAUGUUUAUUUGUCAGCAACAAAAGUAAACUAGAUCAUCAGUAUCGAGACUGAUAGUUUCUAAGUAGUUAUUUUUAAUGCCUGAAACCACUGUUGGGAUUAAGUGUCGGGCAAAUCAGAUUUUAUUUAACAUUUUUAAUCACAAAGAUUCUCUGUGAGCAAAAGUUUUGACUAUGAAAAGAAAGCAUGACAAGGUUAUUUGUUGAAAAUCACAUAAACGGGAUAAAAUUGGUGCUUUGCUUACAGGAGACACACAUAACAAGUCCACACAGCAGUUUCAAACACCAGGUUAAGUUGGUUAGUAGAAUGGACCAAAUUUUGGGGGUUCCUCUAUUUAUGGGACUCAACCAUUAACUGUGUAAACUGUUUUAUCUUGUUCAAAAAUGAGUUAAGUGUAUCUAAAGAGAUUCUCAGGCUUUUUAAAGGUCAAAGUUGAUCAACUUAGACCCCUGAAUCCCCCGUCUCAAACAGGACAGACUGUUAUCAUUCGUGGUACACGGAGUUGUAAAGGUUUAAAAAUAGGAUAUUGAGCAAACACAAUAUAGAAUUAUGGUCUCUGAAGCUGAAACUAAAGCUGUGACCUGGAGUGAAGAAAGUCUCAUGACACCGGAGGAUGGGACUGAAUGUUGUACAUGCAUGCUCAGCAGAAAUGCUGACAGGAGGAUGGAAUCUUAGCUGCUGAUCUGGGAGAUCUGCUUUAUCCCCUACAUAGCAGAGGUUACGGUAAACUAUCACCAGGGGAUAAAAGCUCAAGGUGUCAACCGUCAACUUUUCCCCAGCUCUCAAAAACAACUGCAAGGAUGUUUCCAAGAAAUACUUUCACCAUCAAAUAAUGUGCCUUUCUCCCCCCCCAGAAAGACGAAAGGUUAAUAAAUCUGAACUCUGAUCUGUGAAGUAUGAAAACCUGACUGCAAGCUGUCAGACCAUUAUGACUGGGCUUUUUAAAACUGCUCAGUGUGUAGACUCUUGUGUCGCUCAAAUGUAUUCACCGUGGAGGCCGGGUCACCAUUAAAUAGAUCACUUCUCACGCUGUAAGUAGAGCUUGUUAAUUGGCUUUUUGAAGAGCCUCUCCAAUGAAUAAUAGCGCAAUCUCUCAUUCUGCAGACCUAGUUAAUUCAAAAAUGUGUCAUUAAUUUGGGUCACCAGUUUUCAAUGAACAUUUGUAAGGGCACUAUGAGGAAUCAAGUAUCCGUGCCCGCAUCUGUUCAUCCAAAGCACCUCUUAACACAGUGACUCAUCACAAAGAGUCAAACCUCAUACUUGAAACAUUCAAACCAUAGAGUUGGUUAUAAUGUCUUUUAUGUUAUAGCAUUGGGGUUGAAUAACCUGUUGUAGUUGUUUACCCCUAAUGAAAAUGAAGUAAAGUUGACAUAAAUUGGCAUUGAAGUAACGUCAACAUAAAUUUUAAGCAGAAAAAAAGACGAUAGCUCAGACAAACCUUUUUCACAAAUCUUAGCAGACAAGCAGACCAAUAAUAUGUAGACAGGUAUGCUAAUAGUUACCAAAAGGCCUUGCCAAAAUUCAACCCAAGCUUGUGACUCUCAGGUAUUUUUAUGAUUUUAUUGACUAAGCAUGUAAAAUAAAAACCCAGCAUUCAAAACAAGAAGGAGAAGAAACCUCAGGGGUCCGUGUAUAAUCCGCCUAUUCAAUUAGUUCAUUCAAUCAAGUAAACGAAAAAUGAAAAAAACAAGUCAAUAUUUUGUUCAUUUGUUUUUCUAUAUAAUCAAAAAUAUUUUCAGUUCAAAACAGAACAUAUAAUAGAGAAGAAAACAAAAACGAAAUAAUGAAUCUACUUUUCGUUUUCAGGAUAUUGAUGUCCCCAUUUCCCACGGUGCCUUUCUACGGUGCGCACAUGUGCAUUGCGCAACGAAGUAGCCAACAACGUGAACCAAAAACUCUGGGCUAGAGCGGUAGAAAAAGGCUAACCUGCUGUCAUGGAGAUGGACGCAUCCUACGUAUCAUUCAAAGCUGCCAGGAGGGUCACGCUGAAGGAGGAAAAUAUGACCGUAGAAGAAACUACAACCAGAG